rfam:Schistosoma haematobium scaffold1190_11, whole genome shotgun sequence.
AUCCAGCUGGUGAGUCACAAAUAGGACGAAACACGCGUCCUGGAU